rnacentral:rRNA from 1 species
AUUGAACGCUGGCGGCAUGCUUUACACAUGCAAGUCGAACGGUAACAGCACAGCGGUUGCUGAAGAGUGGCGAAGGGGUGAGUAAUACAUCGGAAUGUGCCUAGUAGUGGGGGAUAACUACUUGACAGAGUAGCUAAUACCGCAAUAGAUCUAAGGAUGAAAGCAGGGGACCUUCGGGCCUUACGCUCCUAGGGCGGCUGAUGGCAGAUUAGGUAGUUGGUGGGAUAAAAGCUUACCAAGCCGACGAUCUGUAGCUGGUCUGAGAGGACGAGCAGCCACACUGGGACUGAGACACGGCCCAGACUCCUACGGGAGGCAGCAGUGGGGAAUUUUGGACAAUGGGCGCAAGCCUGAUCCAGCAAUGCCGCGUGCAGGAUGAAGGCCUUCGGGUUGUAAACUGCUUUUGUUCGGAACGAAAAGCGAUCUGCUAAUACAGGAUGGUCAUGACGGUACCGUAAGAAUAAGCACCGGCUAACUACGUG